UACAGAGGCCACGAGCGUUAGGCGGAAUCACUGGGCUUAAAGCGUGUGUAGGUGGAUCGGUAAGUACCUUGUAAAAUCCCACGGCUCAACCGUGGAACUGCUUGGUAUACUGCCAGUCUUGAGGCACUCAGGGGCGAGCGGAACAAGUGGUGGAGCGGUGAAAUGCGUAGAUAUCACUUGGAACGCCAAUGGUGAAGACAGCUCGCUGGGGGUGUACUGACACUGAGACACGAAAGCCAGGGGAGCGAACGGG
rnacentral:rRNA from 1 species